rnacentral:rRNA from 1 species
CGACUACAUGAAGCUGGAAUCGCUAGUAAUCGCAGAUCAGAAUGCUGCGGUGAAUACGUUCCCGGGUCUUGUACACACCGCCCGUCACACCAUGGGAGUCGGAAAUGCCCGAAGCCGGUGACCCAACCAAAAGGAGGGAGCUGCCGAAGGUGGAGCCGGUAACUGGGGUGAAGUCGUAACAAGGUAGC